CACGUAGGCGGCAUGACAAGUCAAAGGUGAAAGCCCUCGGCUCAACCGAGGAACUGCCUUUGAAACUGUUUUGCUUGAGUCCGGGAGGGGGGAGCGGAAUUCCCAGAGUAGCGGUGAAAUGCGUAGAUACUGGGAGGAACACCGGUGGCGAAGGCGGCUCCCUGGACCGGUACUGACGCUGAGGUGCGAAAGCAUGGGUAGCAAACA
rnacentral:rRNA from 1 species